UUAGGACAAUUAUGCAGAUCUACCAGAUGCAGGAAAAAAAUUCAGCCUCCUCAUCCAGGUUCUGCUAUCCCUACAAGACUGCAUUUGAAAGACUGAAGAGAGUUGUUGGGAUAAAAUGAGACCAUAACUGUGAAUGUCCUUUGGAAGGAAAUGCAGUAGAGAAAUGCAAGAGAAGAGGGCUCUACGAUACUAGAAC